ACGGAAGGCAGCAGUGAGGAAUAUUGGUCAAUGGACGGAAGUCUGAACCAGCCAAGUCGCGUGCGGGAUGAAGGCCCUACGGGUCGUAAACCGCUUUUGUACGGGGAUAAAGUCACCCACGUGUGGGUGUUUGUAGGUACCGUAAGAAUAAGGAUCGGCUAACUCCGUGCCAGCAGCCGCGGUAAUACGGAGGAUCCGAGCGUUAUCCGGAUUUAUUGGGUUUAAAGGGUGCGUAGGCGGUUUGUUAAGUCUGUGGUAAAAGCGUGUGGCUCAACCAUACCAAGCCAUGGAAACUGGCGGACUUGAGUGUAAACGAGGUAGGCGGAAUAUCACGUGUAGCGGUGAAAUGCUUAGAUAUGUGAUAGAACCCCGAUUGCGAAGGCAGCUUACCAGCAUACAACUGACGCUGAGGCACGAAAGCGUGGGUAUCAAACAGGAUUAGAUACCCUGGUA
rnacentral:rRNA from 1 species